UACGGAGGGUGCAAGCGUUAUCCGGAUUCACUGGGUUUAAAGGGUGCGUAGGUGGGCAGGUAAGUCAGUGGUGAAAUCUCCGGGCUUAACUCGGAAACUGCCAUUGAUACUAUCUGUCUUGAAUACCGUGGAGGUUAGCGGAAUAUGUCAUGUAGCGGUGAAAUGCUUAGAUAUGACAUAGAACACCAAUUGCGAAGGCAGCUGGCUACACGAAUAUUGACACUGAUGCACGAAGCGUGGGGAUCAAACAGGA
rnacentral:rRNA from 1 species